AUUGAACGCUGGCGGAAUGCUUUACACAUGCAAGUCGAACGGUAGAGGGGGCAACCCCUCGAGAGUGGCGAACGGGUGAGUAAUAUAUCGGAACGUGCCCAGUCGUGGGGGAUAACGUAGCGAAAGUUACGCUAAUACCGCAUACGAUCUAAGGAUGAAAGCGGGGGAUCGCAAGACCUCGCGCGAUUGGAGCGGCCGAUAUCAGAUUAGGUAGUUGGUGGGGUAAAGGCCCACCAAGCCAACGAUCUGUAGCUGGUCUGAGAGGACGACCAGCCACACUGGAACUGAGACACGGUCCAGGCUCCUACGGGAGGCAGCAGUGGGGAAUUUUGGACAAUGGACGCAAGUCUGAUCCAGCCAUUCCGCGUGCAGGAUGAAGGCCCUCGGGUUGUAAACUGCUUUUGUACGGAACGAAAAGGUCUCUCUUAAUACGGGGGACUCAUGACGGUACCGUAAGAAUAAGCACCGGCUAACUACGUGCCAGCCGCCGCGGUAA
rnacentral:rRNA from 1 species